UACGUAGGGUCCGAGCGUUGUCCGGAAUUAUUGGGCGUAAAGAGCUCGUAGGCGGUGUGUCGCGUCGGCCGUGAAAACUUGCAGCUUAACUGUGGGCGUGCGGUCGAUACGGGCAUCACUGGAGUUCGGCAGGGGAGACCGGAAUUCCUGGUGUAGCGGUGAAAUGCGCAGAUAUCAGGAGGAACACCGGUGGCGAAGGCGGGUCUCUGGGCCGAUACUGACGCUGAGGAGCGAAAGCGUGGGGAGCGAACAGG
rnacentral:rRNA from 1 species